CCAUUACACACACAGACUUUUCCACACAGUUACAAUGCUGCAAAACAAAGCAAAAGUGGCCCGUAGUGCCGUUGCCAUGCAACCGUCCAAACGGAGUCAGUAAACAGUCUGUUGAGUCUGCGUGCAGCGAGAGACUCGGCUCUUGUGUUUGUGCAAUCCCCUGUUGCGUUCAUGUCCUUUUCCAUAAAUUUGCUGGGCUGCACAAACAACAAGCAUGCUAUGCCAACAGAGUUCACUCACAGAUUGUAGCGGUCAACAAAACUGGAACAUCUUCUAUUUUAGGAGCAGAGAAAAAGGGUAUAUUUCACCGUAAGCUCUGGGCCUGUGUCAUCUCAAACCCCAUUGCUGAAUAAUAGAUGGCAUGUGCUGUUCUCUUGUUCCCAAAGGAGCUUCCUCUUCCCUCAGGCCCACUGCGAUCACCUACUGGGAGGCUCCUGAACACGGUUCACUUAUUGCCCAAAUGGAUCCCAGUCACCACUUGAUUUCCCUUUUUACUACUCCGCAGGCCCAGUUAAACCACACAAACUGUGCUGGGUUGGAAGGAAAAGAGGAAUCUGGUGUUGUCUGCAGCAUGGGAAAGAAUAUUAUUAGUCGUAAAAAGAAAAAGCCAUUUGGUAUUUAGGCGUUACUUCAACUAUGUGCACAUUUGACCUUGUGGAUAUUUCAAAAAGAAACUCAAUAGACACACUCUGGUGUAUUUAAUUUGUCCAUAUUAAAAAUGCAUUGCAUGUAA